CAAACACGACAGGGGAGCGUCAUCCUAACCUUAGGAUCCGGCGCUGAGAGUGCGGUUCGCCGCAGACCCUCGAACCUGCUCCGGCUAGUACCGGCGAAGGGAGUCGAGUUCUCUUCGGC
rnacentral:ncRNA from 2 species